rnacentral:sRNA from 1 species
UGAAUAUAUGCAGCUUUGCACACGGCUGGAGAAUACACCCAUCUUAUGAACGAGGAAGACAAGGAGAAUCUGAAGUGGCUACACGUUUUCAAGUAAUCACAUUUUCUUAAACAUGAUUAAGUGAUUUGUUGUUUCUCCU